CCAAGCACUAAAUAUUCCACCAGGGAGCCUGGCUCCAAAGAAUUUCUCAUUUUCAGAUAUUUAUGCCUUACACCGAAGAUCAGACCCUGCUGCUUCUUGUCUCUCGUCUCCUUGUGGCAUCGUUAGUCGCUUUCAGGAGCUGCACUCUGUAAGUGAAUCUGCCAACUCAUCACGGGGUUGGGCUGGUGGCCCCGGGACCCUGCCUCUCCCACAAGGGCAGCAAUUUGCUCUUUCUCAAGUAGCUGCUCUGGACGUGGCUGCUGUCUCUAGCUUUGGCAUCUCUGCCUCACCUGCAGAGCUUCAGGCAGCACAGCUUGGCCCGCAGUGCAGGGAAGCUCAUGGGCAUGGCCCUGGGAUGACCCAUGCCCGCAGCAGCUGGGAGGAGCUGGCCCAUGUGGCACAGUGCAGCUCCUGGAGCCUUGGCCAGGUACCAACUCCAGGCUCAGUGCUUGCUGAUGAGGGGCCUGCAGGUUGGGGCUGGAGCACAUGGGUCUCUGAAGCAAAGGCUGGGCCCUGUCUCCAUGACUCCCUGUGCCACAUGUAAGGGACCCAGGUGAAAUUUCCUGGACACCUAGAUUCUGUGGGACCGAGCUCCUGUUUCCCAUCAUGGACACAGGAAAGGUGACUGAACUCAAGGGCAAGCUGGUCUGGUCACCUUGGCUCCUGUGCCUUCCUCAUCCAGGACUCAGAGUCUCCAUGCUGGUGUCUUGGGGUGGCUUCUCCAAGAAGCAGGCCUGGAGCCAGGAGCUGUGUGUGCAAGUGCUUAUGGAAUUAGGGCUUUUGCACAUGCUAGGAAUGCCUUCUGGCUUUUCCACCAUACCCUGAGUGGAUACCUAGUCGACCUGAGGCUGGUGCUUUCUUUCUUUGAGGCUGUUAUGGGCAUGUCAGGGCAAGCAUUCACUCAACAACCAUACGACAAUAUUUUAUGAGGACUUUUCCUGUGCCCAGCACUGGUCUGGUGCCCGGAGAUCUAGCAGGAAAUGAGGCACAGGUGCUCUUCUGCUGGGACUUUUGCGCUGGAGAAGUGCUCAUCUCUGCUGUCAGGCUCCGUGUCCUCACCUGUAAAGCAGGGACAGUGUGUGUUACUGGAGGCCUUGGAGGAGGGGAGCAAAGCAAAGGCACGAGGUGUCUGUGUGGCCACAGCAACACGCAGCUUCUGCCCCCUGUCCUCACCCCACCCUAGUCAUGAGGAAGAACCCAGCUGCUUCUUCUUUUCCAGAUUUCUCUGAUUCCUGGCUCCUGACUGCUCAGACCUCGAGAUGUUCUUGGUCCUUUCUUCCCACCCUGGUUUCCACACAGUGUGUGCAGCCUGUUUCUGCCUGGCGUGUGGAGCAAAACCCAAAAACUCCACACAAGGAAUGUGCUUCCUGUGCCCAGCAGCAGCUCCAGCCAAAUCAUCGCCAAGUGGAUUAGAAUAACACCAACUUUUGCUACCAUGGCAACUGCUGUUGGUUGCGCAAUUGCUGACUUUUGAAGCUACUUAAAAAUGUGCAAACCAUUUUACAUAAAGUACUUUACAUCACUAAGAGUAGUGACUUUCAUUCCCCUCCAAGACUCAGCUUUAAGAAAAUUUUUUCUUUUUUCCUCCUUAAAAGCAUUUUACAGUUUAUUUUUUAAAAGGACAAUUUAAAAGCAAAGUUUUGCCAAUGUCCAUGUUAGAGCAAAUGUAAAUUAAAAAUAACAGACUUAAUUCUCUCUGCUUAAUGAGAAAAGACUCCCCCUCCCUUUGCUUAAAGCAUUUGCUUUAAAAAAAACUUGUAAUUUUAAGUUCUUUCCCUGUCUGUUUGAAAUGUAUGUA
rnacentral:lncRNA from 1 species